rfam:Triticum aestivum genome assembly, contig: Triticum_aestivum_CS42_TGACv1_scaffold_470875_6AL
CAAGUACUCCCUCCGUACGGAAAUACUUGUCCAAGAAAUGGAUGUAUCUAGAUGUAUUUUAGUUCUAGAUACAUCCAUUUGUAUCCAUUUCUAUGACAAGUAUUUCUGGAUGGAGGGAGUAGUAA